rnacentral:rRNA from 1 species
UACAGAGGUCUCAACCGUUGUUCGGAUUCAUUGGGCGUAAAGGGUGCGUAGGCGGUCGUGCAAGUCGGAUGUGAAAUCUCAGGGCUCAACCCUGAAACUGCAUUCGAUACUGCGUGGCUAGAGUGCUGGAGAGGAGACUGGAAUUUACGGUGUAGCAGUGAAAUGCGUAGAUAUCGUAAGGAAGACCAGUGGCGAAGGCGAGUCUCUGGACAGCAACUGACGCUGAGGCACGAAAGGCCAGGGGAGGCAAAACGGGG